GGGGCCUUAGCUCAGCUGGCAGAGCGCCUGCUUUGCAAGCAGGAAGUCAGGGGUUCGAAUCCCCUAGGCUCCAC
rnacentral:tRNA from 1 species